AGUGGAGCUUGCUCCACGGAUUAGUGGCGAACGGGUGAGGAACACGUGAGAAACCUGCCUCGGAUUUUGGGAUAACAAAUGGAAACGUUUGCUAAUACCAAAUAACGUCGGAGAGUCACAUGACUUUCUGACGAAAGGAAUUCCGAUUCGAGAGGGUCUCGCGGCCUAUCAGCUAGUUGGCGGGGUAAUGGCCCACCAAGGCAACGACGGGUAGCUGGUCUGAGAGGAUGGUCAGCCACACUGGGACUGAGACACGGCCCAGACUCCUACGGGAGGCAGCAGUGGGGAAUCUUGCGCAAUGGGCGAAAGCCUGACGCAGCAACGCCGCGUGUGGGAAGAAGGCUUUCGGGCUGUAAACCGCUUUCAGCAGGAACGAAAAUGACGGUACCUGCAGAAGAAGGAGCGGCCAACUAUGUGCCAGCAGCCGCGGUGAUACAUAGGCUUCAAGCGUUGUCCGGAUUUAUUGGGCGUAAAGAGUUCGUAGGCGGUCGAGUAAGUCGGGUGUGAAAAUUCUGGGCUCAACCCAGAGACGCCACCCGAUACUGCUUAACUUGAGUUCGAUAGGGGAGUGGGGAAUUCCUAGUGUAGCGGUGAAAUGCGCAGAUAUUAGGAGGAACACCGGUGGCGAAGGCGCCACUCUGGAUCGAAACUGACGCUGAGGAACGAAAGCAUGGGUAGCAAACAGGAUUAGAUACCCUGGUAGUCCAUGCCGUAAACGGUGGGCACUAGGUGUGGGAUUCUAUUAACGAAUUCCGCGCCGUCGCUAACGCAUUAAGUGCCCCGCCUGGGGAGUACGGUCGCAAGACUAAACUCAAAGGAAUUGACGGGGCCCGCACAAGCAGCGGAGCGUGUUGCCUAAUUCGAUGCUACGCGAAAACCUUACCUAGGUUUGACAUGUUA
rnacentral:rRNA from 1 species